UGCCAGCAGCCGCGGUAAUACGUAGGUCCCAAGCGUUAUCCGGAAUUACUGGGCGUAAAGAGUUGCGUAGGCGGCUUAUUAAGCAAGGUGUGAAAUCGUACGGCUCAACCGUAUACACAUACUUUGAACUGGUAAGCUAGAGUAUAUGAGAGGUCACUGGAAUUUCUAGUGUAGGAGUGAAAUCCGUAGAUAUUAGAAGGAACACCGAUGGCGUAGGCAGGUGACUGGCAUAUUACUGACACUGAGGCACGAAAGCGUGGGUAGCGAACAGGAUUAGAUA
rnacentral:rRNA from 1 species